GACCAGCACUGCGAAGAAGUCAGCCUACUGCAUGGCUGGGGCCGUUAGCCCUGCAAGAGACAAUGGAGAACACGAAUAUGAAACACUAAAUGCCUAUCACUUCCUCAGUUCAUGACUUCUAACUUCACGUCACCCCUUUCCUGUUGGCAAGUGGGAGAACAGCGGCGACCAUACAACCAUGAUCGUCAUCUACAGUCUUGAGGGAAGAGCUUGAGAUAUCAAGGGGGCCAAGCCAAUGAGAGGUGACAAACAUCUUUAUCCAAAGGAUUCCAUGAACUAAAAUGCUGAGGUGACAUCCUGCAAAGAAGUUACAAAAUCCAUUAUAGCCUUUUCCCUGGGUUUUCCUGGAGACCAUACGAGAUGUGAGCUCAGCAUAUGGAUGGAUGUCGGCCCCUUCAUAGCCACCACCACAACCACAACAAUAUUCUUACAGCACAAGGAAGAACAAAAGCUGAACAGGUUCUUCAUCUUUCAACCAUGACAAACACCGGCUACCACUAAACCACAUCAGGGUUAGCAUGCGAAUGAUGGGCUGAAAGAAGGCGUUCUUUAGUCCUCACACUCAAGAAGGAGUCGCUUCAGAAAUCGAGAGCACAGAAGACAAGGGCACAUUGAGUUAAAUCAAAGAUAGGGGACUCUGCCAUGGUACAGGGAGAACUGAACGUCAGCCGAAGGGCCGAAGAGUGUGUCUUCCAAACAGGAGGAAGGUAUAAAGAAUCGGAAACUUUCUCCCUUGGGCAGUGGCUCUUCCACUCCAGCUGGAUAAGAAAAUCCUCUGGGGAGCUUUGAAAAAUAUAGAUGUCCAGACCCCACAUAAGCUCAAUUAAAUCAGAAUCACUGGGAAGUGGGUCCUGGGGAGUUAUUUUGUACAAGCUUCGAGCAUGAUCUGGCGUGUAGCCAAAGCAGAGGAUCACUGCCCAAGAUGACCUUACAGUCCCACCUACUCGAUGUCACCUGUUUGCACCAGUGACACCCUCAUUUCUGAAGUAAGCUCUGACCGCUGUCCUGAGUUCCAGGUCUGUAGGUCCCACGGCCUACUGGACUCUCCCCUGGGAAGUCUAAAAGAUACCUUAAAUGCACUGUAUUUAAGACACAAUUCUUGACUCUUCCUGCCAAAGAACCCUAUUCCUCUCUAGGACUACCCUCACCUCAGUAAGUGGCACCAGCCAAAAACUUAGACAUGGAAGCCAAAACUUAGACAUCUUCCUUGAUUUCCCCUUAUCCUUCACUCCUCACAUUCAAUCUAUUACCAAGUCUUGUCAUUUCCAUCUUGAAAGUAUAUCUCAAAGCCAUUUAGUGCUCUCACUUCUACUGGUACAACCCUAGUCCAGGACCCCAUCAUCUCUCUCUGGGCAUCUGACAUGGUCUACUUGCAGUUUCCCAUCCCAGAACCUCUCCAUACUCCCAAAAUGCUCUACCUCCUAUUUCUCUGUAGGGCCCCCUCCUUCUCACUCCUGGAACCUCACAGUGAACACCACUUCCUAUGAGAGGUCUUGCCUGCCUACUAUAUACCCAGAGCAGGCUUCCUCCGCCUUGAACACACCCUCCCUUUAUAUCCUUUAUGGCUAUUACCACAAUCUGUACUUAUCUUGUAUAUUUGUCUCCCCUGCAGGAUAGAAGCCCCAUGAGGAUGAGUGCUCUGUCUUGUUUAAAGUUGUACCCUUACUUAGUGCCUGCCAUAUAGUAGAUGAUCAACAAAUAUUUAUUCAAUGAAUGAACGUUCUCCUCUUCUAGAUAAAUGUCCUGGUGGAGAGAAAAUUUUCUGGCCCAGGAUAUCAUAGUAUAAUGCUAUCUUUCCUCCCCCCCAAAAAAAACCCUUCUUUUAUUUGGCUAUCUAGUGAAUCCAGUGGGCAAAGCCUUUCUUUAGAGACCAGACCUUAUUGGUGUUUGCUAAGAAAUUUCCCUAAAGGACAUUCAUUUAAGUGAAUGGUUAAUUGCUUGCUUGCUUUCUGAAAAAGCCCUCACUUACAAUUCUUCAGCACUGUUCAAGUCAUUUAGAAUCAGAGCACUGAAAGGGACAAAAGAAAUCAUUCUGACUCUA